rnacentral:rRNA from 1 species
UACAGAGGGUGCAAGCGUUAAUCGGAAUGACUGGGCGUAAAGGGCGUGUAGGCGGUUAAAUAAGUUAGUUGUGAAAUACCAGAGCUUAACUUUGGAAUGGCAACUAAAACUAUUUGGCUAGAAUGCAGCAGAGGUAAGGAGAAUUUCCGGUGUAGCGGUGAAAUGCGUAGAUAUCGGAAGGAAUACCAAUGGCGAAGGCAACUUACUGGGCUGUUAUUGACGCUGAGGCGCGAAAGCGUGGGGAG